CCUCAUCCUUCUUCAAAUAGUCACAUGUGUUGUGCCAUUCUUCCAAACGUGAAGACGAUAGAGCAGAAAGAGCUGGUCUCGGAUGUUGUCUGGGAAGCUUGAUAUGGAGAUGGAUUAUGGUCCAGAGAUGCAGUUAAAAUUGGCUUGUCCAGAAUCAGAGAGUGUUCAUACAAAGGGCAACAUUCCAGAGAGAGGCCAGUGGUCAAAUAAAGUUGAAUUUCUCCUGGCUGUCACUGGGCAAAUUAUCGGUUUAGGAAAUGUGUGGAGGUUCCCAUACUUAUGCUACAAGAAUGGAGGAGGAGUAUUUUUAAUUCCAUAUUUCAUCUUCCUAUUUGUCUGUGGCAUUCCACUGUUCCUCAUGGAGAUAUCAUUGGGUCAGUACACCAGUCAGGGUGGCAUCACCUGCUGGAGGAAAAUCUGCCCCCUGUUUGAAGGAUUGGGCUAUGGAACUCUGGUGGCUGUGUUGUACUCCAGCAUCUACUACAUCCUAAUUUUGGCCUGGGCAUUCUUCUAUCUUUUUUCUUCCUUUAGUGCUGAAUUACCGUGGGCUACCUGCAACAAUUUCUGGAAUACCGAAGCAUGCACUGAAUUUGACAAACUGGGCAAUUUAAGCAACUUGAGUAUACCAGUGAAUGCAACUUCACCUGUUAAAGAGUUCUGGGAGAGGAGAGUGCUAAAUCUCACAGGCAGUGUGUAUGAGCUGGGCAAUGUGAGGUGGGAGUUGGCCCUGUGUCUCCUCUUAUCUUGGAUCAUCUGCUACUUCUGUGUGUGGAAGGGAGUGAAGUCUACAGGCAAGGUGGUUUAUUUCACUGCUACCUUUCCUUAUGUAAUGUUGGCAGUACUUUUAGUGCGUGGACUCUUGCUGCCUGGGGCUGUUGAUGGUAUCAUUUUUUACCUCUAUCCAGAUUCUAAACGUCUCAUGGAUCCACAGGUGUGGAUGGAUGCUGGAACGCAGAUUUUUUACUCCUACGCUCUCUGCAUUGGGUGCCUUAUUGCAAUGGGAAGCUACAACAAGUACAAUAAUAACUGCUACAAGGACUGUAUUUGUCUGUGCCUGUUGAACAGUGGGACCAGUUUUGUAGCUGGUUUUGCCAUCUUCUCAGUGCUAGGCUUUAUGGCCAAUGAACAGGGGACAAACAUCUCAACAGUGGCAGAGUCAGGCCCAGGCUUGGCCUUCAUUGCAUACCCCAGAGCUGUUGCGAUGAUGCCUGUUCCACAACUAUGGGCCAUUUGUUUCUUUGUUAUGAUUAUUCUGCUAGGACUGGACAGUGAGUUUGUGUGUUUGGAGGCAUUGAUGACUGCUGCAGUUGACACAUACCCCUCGUUCUUCCUUUCUGGUCAUCGCCGCAAAUUCUGCCUGGCCAUCCUUUGUUGUGUGUGUUUCCUGAUUGGCCUGCUUAUGACAACAGAGGGUGGCUUGUAUAUUUUCCAGUUGUUUGACUACUAUUCCUGCAGUGGGAUGACAAUUCUCUUAUUUGCCAUUCUGCAAUCAGUGUGCAUAGGGUGGGUGUAUGGUGCUGAUCGUCUUUGUGAUAAUAUUGAGAGCAUGACUGGACAUAAGCCAGUGUUCUUAAUAAAGUAUUGUUGGAAGUACCUCACCCCUCUAUGCUGCACAGGUACAUUUAUCUUCUCUCUGAUCAAAUUCACUCCUCUGAAGUUUAACAAUGUUCUUGAAUACCCCUGGUGGGGCUAUGCUAUUGGUUGGUGGUUCACGCUCUCUUCAACUCUGUUGGUUCCUCUUUGGAUGAUCUAUGCGCUGCUCACGUCUAGUGGCUCAAUGAGACAGCUAUUGUCACAUUUGAUCUUCCUUAGAGACUACGUGCUCUCUGCACCCCAGCAAGUGACCUGAGGUAAACACUAUGCAACUGGAAGCUAUGGGGGAUUUCUUACCCAAUUACAAAGGAUUUACAAGCUUUUACCUUUACAGAUCACAAGUGAUGAUUACAAAAUGUACACUACAUAUCCAUCCGUCCAUCCAUUAUCUGUAGACGCUGGUCGCAAGCAAGCUGGAGCCUAUCCCAGCUAACUAUGGGCGAGAGGCGGGGUACUCUACAUAUCUACAAAUAUGUAAAUACAUUUCCAAAUCUAAAGUUCAUAUAACAAAACCUAUGCUCUGUUACAGUUUAAAGGUUUUUAACUACCUACUUGGUGACAAAGCAAAUAGCAAUAUUAUUGAGAUUCAAAGUGCCUUUUCGAGCCUAUUUGUUUCUACUUGAUUUCCCACUCCACUUUGUUCAGGGAAUCAAUAUACUGUAACCAGAUUCUAAACAAGCAAAACUUCUCUGAGAAUAAAUCAGCCAUUCCAGACAGAUUAUGCAGUGAUUUCUCAAGAGAAUUUCAGCCAUAUUUGGCAUUAUUGGUGCUUGCUAGUCUUUAUGGAGAAUGUUUUCCCCCACAUGAAGAUUCAAAUUCAGAAGUUGUUUACCUCAGAAUUGUAUAGUUUCUUGUUCCCAUGUUUUGAGUCAUAACUGGAAAAACGUUGAUUUUGUCCAUCUAAAAAUUUAUCGAAAAGCACAGCUGUUCAUUUUAUGAACUGAGAAUUGUGUGACUAAUUUUAUCGGGGUAACCAUUCUAUAUAACUACAACCCCAAUUCCAAAAAAGUUGGGACACUGUAAAAAAUAAAUAAAAACAGAAUGCAAUGAUUUGCAAAUCUCAAACUCAUUUUUUUUCUUUACAAUAGAACAUAGACAACAUAUCAAGUGUUUAAACUGAGACAUUUUAUUAUUUCAUGAAAAAUAUUCUUUUUGGAAACCAUGGACACUGUGUCCUCCAGACUAAAGUGGAGAGGGAAUAUCUGCCUUGUUAUCAGUUCAAAAGCCUGCAUCUCUGAUGGUAUGGGGGUGGAUUAGUGCCUAUGGCAUGGGCAGCUUGCACAUCUGAAAAGGCACCAUCAAUGCUGAAAGGUAUAUACAAGUUUUAAAGCAACAUAUGCUCCCAUCCAGACAACAUCUUUUUCCAGGAAGGCCUCGCACAUUUCAGAAAGACAGUGCUAACCCGCAUAUUGCAUCUAUUACAACAGCAUGGCUUCAUAGUAGAGUAAGGGUGCUGAACUGGCCUACCUGCAGUCCAGACCUUUCACCAAUUGAAAACAUUUGGCGCAUCAUGAAACGAAAAAUACGACAAAGACAACCCAGGACUGUUGAGCAGCUAGAAUCCUAUAUCAAGCAAGAAUGGGACAACAUUCCUCUCCCAAAACUCCAGCAACUGGUCUCCUCAGUUCCCAGAUGUUUAUGGACUGUUGUUAAAAGAAGAGGGGAUACUACACAGUAGUAAACAUAGCCUUAUCCCAACUUUUUUUUUUUUUUGAGAUGUUGCUGCCAUGGCGGCACGGUGGUGUAGUGGUUAGCGCUGUCGCCUCACAGCAAGAAGGUCCUGGGUUCGAGCCCCGGGGCCGGCGAGGGCCUUUCUGUGCGGAGUUUGCAUGUUCUCCCCGUGUCCGCGUGGGUUUCCUCCGGGUGCUCCGGUUUCCCCCAC